GACGAACGCUGGCGGCGUGCUUAUCACAUGCAAGUCGAACGGAAAGGCCCUGCUUUUGUGGGGUGCUCGAGUGGCGAACGGGUGAGAAACACGUGAGUAACCUGCCCUUGACUUUGGGAUAACUUCAGGAAACUGGGGCUAAUACCGGAUAGGAGCUCCUGCUGCAUGGGGGGGGUUGGAAAGUUUCGGCGGUUGGGGAUGGACUCGCGGCUUAUCAGCUUGUUGGUGGGGUAGUGGCUUACCAAGGCUUUGACGGGUAGGCGGCCUGGGAGGGUUGCCGGCGACAUUGGGACUGAGGUACGGCCCAGACUCCUACGGGAGGCAGCAGUGGGGAAUAUUGCACAAUGGGCGGAAGCCUGAUGCAGCAGCGCCGCGUGCGGGAUGACGGCCUUCGGGUUGUAAACCGCUGUCGCCUGUGACGAGGCGUGAGUGACGGUAAUGGGUAAAGAAGCACCGGCUAACUACGUG
rnacentral:rRNA from 1 species